GACUGCUCAGUAAUACUCACUUUAUUUUAUGUAAAUUUUUAAUUAACUACGUUAAAGUGUAGAUAAGAUGUUUACAGUAAGAGUGAGACCUAUCAACUAGUUGUUAAGGUAAUGGCUUAACAAGGCUGUGACGGGUAACGGUAUUACUUUGUAAUAUUCCGGAGAAGGAGCCUGAGAGACGGCUACUAAGUCUAAGGAUUGCAGCAGGGGCGAAACUUGACCUAUGGAUUUUAUCUGAGGCAGUUAUGGGAAGUAAUAUUAUAUUGUUUCAUAUUUUAAAAGUAUAUGAGGUGAUUAAUUGGAGGGCAAAUCAAGUGCCAGCAGCCGCGGUAAUACUUGUUCCAAGAGUGUGUAUGAUGAUUGAUGCAGUUAAAAAGUCCGUAGUUUAUUUUUUUAUUAAGCAA
rnacentral:rRNA from 1 species